GACGAACGCUGGCGGCGUGCCUAACACAUGCAAGUCGAACGGAGCACUUCGGUGCUUAGUGGCGAACGGGUGAGUAACGCGUGAGAAACCUGCCUCUCAGUGGGGGACAACAGUUGGAAACGACUGCUAAUACCGCAUAAUGUAUUCGGAAGGCAUCAUCUGAAUACCAAAGCUUUAUGUGCUGAGAGAUGGUCUCGCGUCUGAUUAGCUAGAUGGCGGGUAACGGCCACCAUGGCGACGAUCAGUAGCCGGUCUGAGAGGAUGAACGGCCACAUUGGGACUGAGAUACGGCCCAGACUCCUACGGGAGGCAGCAGUGGGGAAUAUUGGCAAUGGGGGAACCUGACCCAGCAACGCC
rnacentral:rRNA from 1 species